GAUGAACGCUGGCGGCGUGCUUAACACAUGCAAGUCGAACGGUAAACCUUUUAUUUUUGCUUCGGCAGAUUUUGCUUGUUUCUAGUGGCGGUCGGGUGAGUAACGCGUGGGUAACUUUCCCUAUACAGGGGGUUAACAACCAGAAAUGGUUGCUAAUACCGCAUCAGCGCACAGGUCCGCAUGGUCCGGUGUUAAAUACUCCGGUGGUAUAGGAUGGACCCGCGUUGGAUUAGCCAGUUGGCAGGGUAACGGCCUACCAAGGCGACGAUCCAUAGCCGGCCGGAGAGGGUGAACGGCCACAUUGGGAAUGAGACACGGCAGAGACUCAUACGGGAGGAAGGAGUGGGGAAUAUUGCACAAUGGGGGAAACAGUGAUGCAGCGACGCCGCGUGAAGGAAGAAGUAGCUCGGUAUGUAAACUUCUAUCAGCAGGGAAGAUAGUGACGGUACCUGACUAAGAAGCCCCGGCUAACUACGUG
rnacentral:rRNA from 1 species